rnacentral:rRNA from 1 species
UACGUAGGAUGCAAGCGUUAAUCGGAAUUACUGGGCGUAAAGCGUGCGCAGGCGGUUAUGCAAGACAGAUGUGAAAUCCCCGGGCUCAACCUGGGAACUGCAUUUGUGACUGCAUAGCUAGAGUGCGGCAGAGGGAGAUGGAAUUCCGCGUGUAGCAGUGAAAUGCGUAGAUAUGCGGAGGAACACCGAUGGCGAAGGCAAUCUCCUGGGCCUGCACUGACGCUCAUGCACGAAAGCGUGGGGAGCAAACAGG